rnacentral:rRNA from 1 species
CCUACGGGCGGCAGCAGUGGGGAAUAUUGGACAAUGGGGGGAACCCUGAUCCAGCCAUGCCGCGUGUGUGAAGAAGGCCCUCGGGGUGUAAAGCACUUUCAGUGAGGAAGAACGCCUGGUGGUUAAUACCCAUCAGGAAAGACAUCACUCACAGAAGAAGCACCGGCUAACUCCGUGCCAGCAGCCGCGGUAAUACGGAGGGUGCGAGCGUUAAUCGGAAUUACUGGGCGUAAAGCGCGCGUAGGUGGCUUGAUAAGCCGGUUGUGAAAGCCCCGGGCUCAACCUGGGAACGGCAUCCGGAACUGUCAAGCUAGAGUGCAGGAGAGGAAGGUAGAAUUCCCGGUGUAGCGGUGAAAUGCGUAGAGAUCGGGAGGAAUACCAGUGGCGAAGGCGGCCUUCUGGACUGACACUGACACUGAGGUGCGAAAGCGUGGGUAGCAAACAGGAUUAGAUACCCCGGUAGUC